rnacentral:lncRNA from 1 species
CUAGAACUCCGAUACCCACCCCUGUCCAUUAGCAUAUCAUCACACUCCCUGUCUCCUUAAUCCACUCUUCCCAUGCAGCCGUUUAUCGUUCUUCCUUUUUAGGUUUUUGAAAUGGAGGCAGUGUGGGAGGGUGAGUGUUGAUAAUGGUGCGAAACAGAAAACAUCCUCAAGGUCCAUGGGGAGAUGGGUUGAUUGGGGUGUCAUGGCCUCCAUGAAACACUCUCUGGAGAGUUAUAGACAGGGAGCCCAACUCACUCGCUUGGAGAGGGGACCCAGAACACCAUCAAGCUAAAACAUGAGAGGAUCUAAGUGACGCUCCCAGAACUUUCAUCGAGAGACUCACAGCCACAUCAGGGUGAAAACUUAGCUUCAUAAAGGAAAUGCAUUUGUAAAGGUGUCCCCUUCUUCUGUAGGGAGAGAAGGGCACUCUGCACCACUGGGGACUGGACAAUGCCUAUCAAUGGAUAAAGCUCCAACUGGAAUCUGCAGGGCACAUUUCACUUCCCACAUACUUACCACAAACCAGCUGCCCCGGGAGCCUCUGACUCUGUCUUCUCCAUAACUACUGCCCAGAGUGUUCUAUGUGUCCCAGGUUUCACCCCUUUUGUGGUUUCUACUUCUUUGCAUUCAUACAAAAAAUACGAUUUUUCUGAUAUUAAUCUUUUUCUCUGCCUGAUUCUUGGUCUCUGACUACUGAAUCUAAAACAGCAGACAGUAAAAAGGGAAAGGGCCUUUUGCAAAUAAAACAAAAGAAAAACCCUCCCUCUCCUGCAUAGUCAUGUGUUAACAUUUUAGAAAAUGCAUGAACAUCUGAACAAGAAAAUGUAAAUUACCUAUAAACGGCCUGUCUGCUCUGGAGA